rnacentral:rRNA from 1 species
GACGAACGCUGGCGGCGUGCUUAACACAUGCAAGUCGAACGGAAAGGCCCUGCCUUUGUGGGGUGCUCGAGUGGCGAACGGGUGAGUAACACGUGAGUAACCUGCCCUUGACUUUGGGAUAACUUCAGGAAACUGGGGCUAAUACCGGAUAGGAGCUCCUGCUGCAUGGUGGGGGUUGGAAAGUUUCGGCGGUUGGGGAUGGACUCGCGGCUUAUCAGCUUGUUGGUGGGGUAGUGGCUUACCAAGGCUUUGACGGGUAGCCGGCCUGAGAGGGUGACCGGCCCCAUUGGGACUGAGGUACGGCCCAGACUCCUACGGGAGGCAGCAGUGGGGAAUAUUGCACGAUGGGCGGAAGCCUGAUGCAGCAACGCCGCGUGCGGGAUGACGGCCUUCGGGUUGUAAACCGCUUUCGCCUGUGACGAAGCGUGAGUGACGGUAAUGGGUAAAGAAGCACCGGCUAACUACGUG